rnacentral:rRNA from 1 species
CAGCAGCCGCGGUAAAACGAAGGGUGCAAGCGUUAAUCGGAAUUACUGGGCGUAAAGCGUGCGCAGGCGGUUAUAUAAGACAGAUGUGAAAUCCCCGGGCUCAACCUGGGACCUGCAUUUGUGACUGUAUAGCUAGAGUACGGUAGAGGGGGAUGGAAUUCCGCGUGUAGCAGUGAAAUGCGUAGAUAUGCGGAGGAACACCGAUGGCGAAGGCAAUCCCCUGGACCUGUACUGACGCUCAUGCACGAAAGCGUGGGGAGCAAACAGGAUUAGAUACCCGCGUAGUCCCUGUCUCUUAUAC